GACGAACGCUGGCGGCGUGCUUAACACAUGCAAGUCGAACGGAAAGGCCCUGCUUUUGUGGGGUGCUCGAGUGGCGAACGGGUGAGUAACACGUGAGUAACCUGCCCUUGACUUUGGGAUAACUUCAGGAAACUGGGGCUAAUACCGGAUAGGAGCUCCUGCUGCAUGGUGGGGGUUGGAAAGUUUCGGCGGUUGGGGAUGGACUCGCGGCUUAUCAGCUUGUUGGUGGGGUAGUGGCUUACCAAGGCUUUGACGGGUAGCCGGCCUGAGAGGGUGACCGGCCACAUUGGGACUGAGAUACGGCCCAGACUCCUCCGGGAGGCAGCAGUGGGGAAUAUUGCACGAUGGGCGGAAGCCUGAUGCAGCAACGCCGCGUGCGGGAUGACGGCCUUCGGGUUGUAAACCGCUUUCGCCUGUGACGAAGCGUGAGUGACGGUAAUGGGUAAAGAAGCACCGGCUAACUACGUG
rnacentral:rRNA from 1 species